rnacentral:lncRNA from 1 species
UUUUUGCGCUUUGCGCUCUCCAAAACACUGGUAAGAGACAUAGAUUCACACUAAUGUCAGUGUAGUGGAUGGUUUAAGAAAAUCAAAGGAUUAGGGGAUUAAGAUGCGAGGAGACUGUCUUUGGGAAAAAGGAACAUAAAAGCUACAGCUUGCUACAAUUUAAAUAGCGGAAGCAGCGUAUCUGGUCUAGUUGCUGAGGAAAGUUCCAAUAUAUGAUCAAUUUUAGGGGCUGAAACAGAGACAGGGAAUAAGGAAAAACAAGAAUAAAGAGAAAACAAAGGCAUCAAAUAUGAGAACCGUUAGCAUCACACCAAGGACAAGACACGAUGCUUCUUAACAUAAACCUAAGAUCAUUCAAUUCAUUACAUAGUCUAACCAAGGGAAUUUAAUCCUUAAUAUAGAGAAGACAAUAGUCAGGACUCAGGACCAAAUCAAAAUGGCUCCUCAUUAAACUUGACAUGCAACGGCAGACAUAUCUCACUACUAUGACUCCAUCAGACCACCCCAGCAACCGCUCCCCACAAAAAAAAAAUUUGAUUUACAGAAAGUCUUGACAGAGACAAUUUGGUAUAUUAUGUGUCACUGGCCAGGAGUGAAAUAUGAUGCAUAAUAGGCUUACAUACCGAAAUAUUUGCACUGUCCAAGGCUUUACAGGGCUCAACAAAUGCUUUGACUUAUUUGCACUGUCCCAGUAUAAUCCCACUUAGUGGGGUCUGGGGAGGGUAGUAUGUACGCAGACCUUACCCCUUGGGAAGACUCGAACUCACAACCUCUAGGUGGGAAGUGGGGGUUGCUUACCAUCAGAGCAAUCCCUCUUGUCUUAAAACAAGAAGAUUAACUCACACAAAUUGUCCCUUUUUUUUAACUGGUUGUAGUGUCCGAACCAGCUUGCAUGUACCUCGACAAAGUGUCCCUAACAAAGUUCAAUUACUUUGCCUAUUUUGUUUAUACAGAUGAAGCAUGCAUCAAGCUGGCAAAUUCAAGCAACAAAGGAGAAGACACAAAGUAGUAGCCCUUAGUUACUGAAAUAGUUAGGUGAAACAAAGUUGUGGUUUUGUGCCCAAAACAAUACAGAUUAGGCCAAGAACAACAGAAAUUACAGUUGAAGUAGGAAGAUCAGAAAAGAAUCAAACAAAGAAUCAAUCUUUAUUAGUCAAAAGCAAAAUAAACAAGAAAAAAAAAGCAAAAUGGAAGAUUAAGCAAGAGCAAUAAGCAAGAAAGCACCUUCUCUUUCUUUCCUUUUCUGAAUUCCACCUUCCAUCCAGCAGGAAGCCAAUCAGGCAAAGACCUCUUCUUUUCCGUCUCACAAUCCCACCUAAAUUAACCACUUACCCAUCUAAUUUAAUUCAAUCUCCAAAUAAAACCCCCAACAACUAAAGAAAACAAAAUAAAGAUGCCUUCUUUUUUACUUGUCCUGAAAAGUCAAGAACUCUCCAACCCCUUUUGUAAAGUGUGAAUAUGGGUAGAGUGAAGGCUGCAGGACUCCACUAUGUGUCAUGUCGACUCUUUCUUUGACUCAACAGAGUAUAAAGUGAUGAGUAGAGGAAAUGGGGUCAUAAUGGGGGGAGAGUGGUGGGGUUGGGGUUGGGGUUAGGGGACGGAGAAUCGAACAAAUAGCAUUGCACAACCACGUGUUUGCCAAACUUGUUCGGUUUCAAAACUUGCAAUUCGAGGCAAACCAAACGUUCUUUAUGAUGAUUUUUUAAUCCUAUCUUUCUACUUCUUUUUUCUUCGUUUUGGUUUUAAUAGUCUGUUCUCUCCGCUCUUUUAUUUUUGACACCUCAAAUGUGCAAGUGGCAGUCGGACAAUGAAAAAAGGCCUCAGAAAGUUACUGGUAGGUGUAAUUUCCUUGUUCUUG